CGGGUUACCGAAUUCAGACAAACUCCGAAUGCCAGUGAUUUAUGCUUGGGAGUCAGACUGCGAGUGAUAAGAUCCGUAGUCAAGAGGGAAACAGCCCAGACCACCAGCUAAGGUCCCCAAAUAUCCGUUAAGUGGAAAAGGAUGUGGCGUUGCUUAGACAACCAGGAUGUUGGCUUAGAAGCAGCCAUCAUUUAAAGAGUGCGUAAUAGCUCACUGGUCGAGUGACACUGCGCCGAAAAUGUACCGGGGCUAA
rnacentral:rRNA from 1 species